UACGGAGGGUGCAAGCGUUAUCCGGAUUCACUGGGUUUAAAGGGUGCGUAGGAGGGCAGGGAAGUCAGUGGUGAAAUCUCCGGGCUUAACUCGGAAACUGCCGUUGAUACUCUCUGUCUUGAAUACCGUGGAGGUGAGCGGAAUAUGUCAUGUAGCGGUGAAAUGCUUAGAUAUGACAUAGAACACCAAUUGCGAAGGCAGCUCGCUACACGAAUAUUGACUCUGAGGCACGAAAGCGUGGGGAGCAAACAGG
rnacentral:rRNA from 1 species